AGGCUCCGCCUCCGGAGAUUCCGGUUCCAGCCGGAGGUUGCUGAGAAGACGAAGACCACACCCCGUCUGCCGGAGUCGGGGGAAGCGGAGCGAGGCCGUGUGUGUGAGCGUCUUAGCACUGCUGGCGGCGAGCGCAUAGGCAAUUGUUCAGCUAGGCUGAGGCUCCAGAGGAACUUGCCAGCUGCCUGCCCAUCAGCUCUUGGUGGUAGGUUUGGUACUCACCACCAGACCUUCUGCUAUAGCUUCAGCACGCCUGGUCUUGUUUGUUUGGAUUUAUCCCUGGUUGGUGCUGUCUGGCACAGAAGAGGUUUGUUUUUUCUGGAAGAGGUCAUGGUGCUGCAUUCCCUGAGCGUCUGUCUGCAUGAUGCCUGAUCUUUGCAGGAACGCUUUGCUGGGCAACACUUUUUAAAAGUGUAGUCAUCUUUUUUUUUUUUUAAUUAGAUUUUAUUGAGGCACAACAUUGUCCAGCUGUUUGCUGUGGUGUCACGAACCACCUCAACACUAGUGUCACGUUCAUGGCAGUAGCAUUCACAACGGCCAAAAGGCGGAAGCAACCCAAGUGUCCGUCAGCAGACAAAUGCAUCGACACAAGGUGAUCCGUGUGUAGGAAAGACUCUUAUUUGGUCUUGGUAAGGAAGGAAUGCCUGGCACGUGCUGCCGCCUGGAUCAAACUUAAGGACAAGAUGCUAAGUGAAAUGAGCCAGUCACCAAAAGAAGCACAAAUCCUAUGUGAUCCUUCUAAUAUGAGCUUCCUAGAGUAGUCAGGUCCAUAGACACAGAAAGUACGGCGGUUGCCACAGGCAACAGGGAGAGGAAAAGGGGAGCUGUUCUUGGUAGGUAUAGAGUUUCCGUUUUUCAAGAUGAAAACGUUCUGGAAUCUGUUGCAUAACUCUGUGAAUAUACUUAAUUCUGUGCUGUACAGUUAACAAUGACAAAGACGAUAAUUUUUUUUUUAAACUGUAUUUAUUUGUUUUGAGAGAGAGACGGCUCAAGCAGGGGAGAGGCAGAGAAAGAAGGAGAGAGAGAAUCCCAAGCAGGCUCCACACUGUCAGCGCAGACCCUGA